rnacentral:rRNA from 1 species
AACGCGAAGAACCUUACCAGGCCUUGACAUGGGGAGUAUGGAUUCCAGAAAAGGAAUCCUUCAGUUUGGCUGGCUCCCACACAGGUGCUGCAUGGCUGUCGUCAGCUCGUGUCGUGAGAUGUUGGGUUAAGUCCCGCAACGAGCGCAACCCUCAUUCCUAGUUGCCAACAGAUAAUGCUGGGAACUCUAGGAAAACUGCCGGUGAUAAGCCGGAGGAAGGUGGGGAUGACGUCAAGUCUUCAUGGCCCUUACGGCCUGGGCUACACACGUGCUACAAUGGCGGUGACAAUGCGCAGCUAACCCGCGAGGGCAAGCUAAUCGCAAAAAGCCGUCUCAGUUCGGAUUGCACUCUGCAACUCGAGUGCAUGAAGCUGGAAUCGCUAGUAAUCGUAGAUCAGCACGCUACGGUGAAUACGUUCCCGGGCCUUGUACACACCGCUGUA